rnacentral:misc_RNA from 1 species
AAAAACAUACGCCUCUCCCCCUCAGUUCAUCCAUUCAUUCCGCCGUCAUAAACUAAGAUGUUUUUGACUUGGGAUUCUUCUUUCCUACUUGCCUCCUCGGAAUCGAAUUCUUCAUGCCGAUGAAGAACAGCAAUGCUCCCAACAAUGCCAGAUUCUGAGUGAAUUUCACAAAAAGUUGGUUGAAUUCCUUCUUCUCGACAUCGUAGUUGUAGAAAUCGUACAAGAUGGGUGUGGUAAUAGCCUGGUGCAAGAUCAGAAGAAAAGCUCCAAUGGAGCUGUUGAAGAUGAAGAGCAGGCUUCCAAGGCCUUUCAGCGCAAUGGCACCAGCCACAAGAUGUAGGAUCUCAACUUUUGGGAAAUCCAACCCAGUAUGAGCUUCAAAGUUGCGAGUGAAAACGUUGAAUUUAGGCUUUAGAUACUUGGCCGCCGGGCCUCCAUCAGUACCAAAAUCAUUGAACUCUUGCCAAG